GAUUAAGUUAUUAAGGGCGCACGGUGGAUGCCUUGGCACUAGAAGCCGAUGAAGGACGUUACUAACGACGAUAUGCUUUGGGGAGCUGUAAGUAAGCUUUGAUCCAGAGAUUUCCGAAUGGGGAAACCCAGCAUGAGUUAUGUCAUGUUAUCGAUAUGUGA
rnacentral:rRNA from 1 species